GGCGGACGGGUGAGUAAUACUUAGGAAUCUGCCCAUUAGUGGGGGACAACUAGAAGAAAUUCUAGCUAAUACCGCAUACGCCCUACGGGGGAAAGCGGGGGAUCUUCGGACCUCGCGCUAAUGGAUGAGCCUAAGUCGGAUUAGCUUGUUGGUGAGGUAAAGGCUCACCAAGGCGACGAUCCGUAGCUGGUUUGAGAGGAUGAUCAGCCACACUGGGACUGAGACACGGCCCAG
rnacentral:rRNA from 1 species